rnacentral:misc_RNA from 1 species
GAUGAAGAACGUAGUGAAAUGCGAUAAGUAAUGCGAAUUGCAGAAUUCAGUGAGUCAUCGAAUCUUUGAACGCACAUUGCGCCCUGUGGUAUUCCGCAGGGCAUGCCUGUUCGAGCGUCAUUUCAACCCUCAAGCUCCGCUUGGUGUUGGGCCCUGCCCCCGCGGCCGGCCCCAAAGACAGUGGCGGCGCCGCUUGGCCCUAAGCGUAGUACAUCUCUCGCUCUAGGACCCGGCGGUGGCCUGCCAGAACCCCAAACUCAUGUGGUUGACCUCGGAUCAGGUAGGGAUACCCGCUGAACUUAAGCAUAUCAAUAAGCGGAGGA